UCCCUGGUGGUCCAGUGGUUAGGACUCUGCACUCGCAUUGCCAAGGGCCCGGGUUUGAUCCCUGGUUAGGAAA